rnacentral:rRNA from 1 species
CCUUAGAGUUUGAUCCUGGCUCAGGACGAACGCUGGCGGCGCGCCUAACACAUGCAAGUCGAACGAGCGAGAGAGAGCUUGCUUUCUCGAGCGAGUGGCGAACGGGUGAGUAACGCGUGAGGAACCUGCCUCAAAGAGGGGGACAACAGUUGGAAACGACUGCUAAUACCGCAUAAGCCCACAGUGCCGCAUGGCACAGAGGGAAAAGGAGCAAUCCGCUUUGAGAUGGCCUCGCGUCCGAUUAGCUAGUUGGUGAGGUAAUGGCCCACCAAGGCGACGAUCGGUAGCCGGACUGAGAGGUUGAACGGCCACAUUGGGACUGAGACACGGCCCAGACUCCUACGGGAGGCAGCAGUGGGGAAUAUUGCACAAUGGGGGAAACCCUGAUGCAGCGACGCCGCGUGGAGGAAGAAGGUCUUCGGAUUGUAAACUCCUGUUGUUGAGGAAGAUAAUGACGGUACUCAACAAGGAAGUGACGGCUAACUACGUGCCAGCAGCCGCGGUAAAACGUAGGUCACAAGCGUUGUCCGGAAUUACUGGGUGUAAAGGGAGCGCAGGCGGGAAGACAAGUUGGAAGUGAAAUCCAUGGGCUCAACCCAUGAACUGCUUUCAAAACUGUUUUUCUUGAGUAGUGCAGAGGUAGGCGGAAUUCCCGGUGUAGCGGUGGAAUGCGUAGAUAUCGGGAGGAACACCAGUGGCGAAGGCGGCCUACUGGGCACCAACUGACGCUGAGGCUCGAAAGUGUGGGUAGCAAACAGGAUUAGAUACCCUGGUAGUCCACACCGUAAACGAUGAUUACUAGGUGUUGGAGGAUUGACCCCUUCAGUGCCGCAGUUAACACAAUAAGUAAUCCACCUGGGGAGUACGACCGCAAGGUUGAAAC